rnacentral:tRNA from 3 species
UUGGGCGUAAGUUGGCUAGGAACAGGAUUGUGAUUCCUGUUGUCGUGGGUUCGAACCCCAUCAGCCACCCCA